rnacentral:rRNA from 1 species
GAUGAACGCUGGCGGCGUGCCUAAUACAUGCAAGUCGAGCGAACAGACGAGGAGCUUGCUCCUCUGACGUUAGCGGCGGACGGGUGAGUAACACGUGGAUAACCUACCUAUAAGACUGGGAUAACUUCGGGAAACCGGAGCUAAUACCGGAUAAUAUAUUGAACCGCAUGGUUCAAUAGUGAAAGACGGUUUUGCUGUCACUUAUAGAUGGAUCCGCGCCGCAUUAGCUAGUUGGUAAGGUAACGGCUUACCAAGGCAACGAUGCGUAGCCGACCUGAGAGGGGGAUCGGACACACUGGAACUGAGACACGGUCCAGACUCCUACGGGAGGCAGCAGUAGGGAAUCUUCCGCAAUGGGCGAAAGCUUGACGGAGCAACGCCGCGUGAGUGAUGAAGGUCUUCGGAUCGUAAAACUCUGUUAUUAGGGAAGAACAAAUGUGUAAGUAACUAUGCACGUCUUGACGGUACCUAAUCAGAAAGCCACGGCUAACUACGUG